rnacentral:lncRNA from 1 species
GUCAGCCCAGAGUCCUUGUCUCUUCCUGGAGGAGAGCGAAGCCUCCAAUCAGGCCCCGGGAAAGCAGUUUUUCAAUCUUCAACUGCAAACACUAAUACCGCUGAAGCUAAUUUUACAGAUUUCCACUUCCAGGCCUUGCCAUUGUCCCAGAAUCCCUUAGCCUGGGAGAUUAGCAGUUUAGAGACUGGAAAAAAUAAGGGAGACGUCAAAGCCGCCAGGACGAGUCAAAGUAAUAUGCCUGCGACUGGCACGCGGACUUUUAUUUCUUCCCCCUCCACGCUCCAGAGCUGCUCCUGCGGCGUGGAGAGAUAAAUAUUUUAAAUAGCGACACUUU